UACAGAGGGUGCGAGCGUUACUCGGAAUUACUGGGCGUAAAGCGUGCGUAGACGGUUAUGUAAGUCGGGUGUGAAAGCCCCGGGCUCAACCUGGGAAUGCCAUUCGAGACUGCAUAGCUAGGGUGCGGAAGAGGGAAGCGGAAUUUCAGGUGUAGCGGUGAAAUGCGUAGAUAUCUGAAGGAACACCAGUGGCGAAAGCGGCUUCCUGGUCCAGCACCGACGUUCAGGCACGAAAGCGUGGGGAGCAAACAGG
rnacentral:rRNA from 1 species